UACGUAGGGGGCGAGCGUUGUCCGGAGUUACUGGGCGUAAAGCGCACGCAGGCGGUCUGCUAAGUUUGGAGUGACAGUUGGUGGCUUAACUGCCAAAGUGCUUCGAAAACUGACAGACUUGAGGGCUUCAGAGGGACACGGAAUUCCGGGUGGAGUGGUGAAAUGCGUAGAGAUCGGAAAGAACACCAACGGCGAAAGCACUCUGCUGGGCCGACACUGACACUGAGAGACGAAAGCUAGGGGAGCGAAGUGGG
rnacentral:rRNA from 1 species